AGAGUUUGAUCCUGGCUCAGGACGAACGCUGGCGGCGUGCCUAAUACAUGCAAGUCGAGCGAGCCGAACCAAUUGAUUACCUUCGGGUAUGAAGUUAGGGAAGCGAGCGGCGGAUGGGUGAGUAACACGUGGGUAACCUACCCUAUAGUCUGGGAUACCACUUGGAAACAGGUGCUAAUACCGGAUAAAAGGAGAGAUCACAUGAUUUCUUUUUGAAAGGCGGCGUAAGCUGUCGCUAAAGGAUGGACCCGCGGUGCAUUAGCUAGUUGGUAAGGUAACGGCUUACCAAGGCAACGAUGCAUAGCCGAGUUGAGAGACUGAUCGGCCACAUUGGGACUGAGACACGGCCCAAACUCCUACGGGAGGCAGCAGUAGGGAAUCUUCCACAAUGGACGCAAGUCUGAUGGAGCAACGCCGCGUGAGUGAAGAAGGUUUUCGGAUCGUAAAGCUCUGUUGUUGGUGAAGAAAGAUAGUGAGAGUAACUGCUCAUUAUUUGCCGGUAAUCAACCAGAAAGUCACGGCUAACUACGUGCCAGCAGCCGCGGUAAUACGUAGGUGGCAAGCGUUGUCCG
rnacentral:rRNA from 1 species